AGAGUUUGAUCAUGGCUCAGAACGAACGCUGGCGGCAGGCCUCAAACAUGCAAGUCUAGGGGGUGUAGCAAUACAUCACCGGCGGACGGGUGCGUAACGCGUGGGAAUAUACCUAUCGAUUCGGAACAACUGAGGGAAACUUCAGCUAAUACCGAAUACGUCCUAACGGAGAAAGAUUUAUCGUCGAUAGAUUAGCCCGCGUUCGAUUAGCUAGUUGGUGGGGUAACGGCCCACCAAGGCGACGAUCGAUAGCUGUUCUGAGAGGAAGAUCAGCCACACUGGGACUGAGACACGGCCCAGACUCCUACGGGAGGCAGCAGUUGGGAAUCUUGGACAAUGGGGGAAACCCUGAUCCAGCCAUGCCGCGUGAGUGAUGAAGGCCUUCGGGUUGUAAAACUCUUUCGCGCACGACGAUAAUGACGGUAGUGCGAGAAGAAGCUCCGGCUAACUUCGUGCCAGCAGCCGCGGUAAUACGAAGGGGGCUAGCGUUGUUCGGAAUUACUGGGCGUAAAGCGCGCGCAGGCGGUCUUCCAAGUCAGUGGUGAAAGCCCGGAGCUCAACUCCGGAACUGCCAUUGAAACUGUUGGACUUGAGUAUGAGAGAGGUGAGUGGAAUUCCCAGUGUAGAGGUGAAAUUCGUAGAUAUUGGGAAGAACACCGGUGGCGAAGGCGGCUCACUGGCUCAUUACUGACGCUCAGGCGCGACAGCGUGGGGAUCAAACAGGAUUAGAUACCCUAGUAGUCC
rnacentral:rRNA from 1 species